AGAGUUUGAUCCUGGCUCAGAACGAACGCUGGCGGCAUGCCUAACACAUGCAAGUCGAACGAGACCUUCGGGUCUAGUGGCGCACGGGCGCGUAACGCGUGGGAAUCUGCCCCUUGGUUCGGAAUAACAGCGAGAAAUUGCUGCUAAUACCGGAUAAUGACGUAAGUCCAAAGAUUUAUCGCCAAGGGAUGAGCCCGCGUAGGAUUAGCUAGUUGGUGUGGUAAAGGCGCACCAAGGCGACGAUCCUUAGCUGGUCUGAGAGGAUGAUCAGCCACAUUGGGACUGAGACACGGCCCAGACUCCUACGGGAGGCAGCAGUGGGGAAUAUUGGACAAUGGGCGAAAGCCUGAUCCAGCAAUGCCGCGUGAGUGAUGAAGGCCUUAGGGUUGUAAAGCUCUUUUACCCGGGAUGAUAAUGACAGUACCGGGAGAAUAAGCUCCGGCUAACUCCGUGCCAGCAGCCGCGGUAAUACGGAGGGAGCUAGCGUUGUUCGGAAUUACUGGGCGUAAAGCGCACGUAGGCGGCUUUGUAAGUUAGAGGUGAAAGCCUGGAGCUCAACUCCAGAAUUGCCUUUAAGACUGCAUCGCUUGAAUCCAGGAGAGGUGAGUGGAAUUCCGAGUGUAGA
rnacentral:rRNA from 1 species